AUUGAACGCUGGCGGCAGGCCUAACACAUGCAAGUCGAGCGGAUGAAGGGAGCUUGCUCCUGGAUUCAGCGGCGGACGGGUGAGUAAUGCCUAGGAAUCUGCCUGGUAGUGGGGGAUAACGUCCGGAAACGGGCGCUAAUACCGCAUACGUCCUGAGGGAGAAAGUGGGGGAUCUUCGGACCUCACGCUAUCAGAUGAGCCUAGGUCGGAUUAGCUAGUUGGUGGGGUAAAGGCCUACCAAGGCGACGAUCCGUAACUGGUCUGAGAGGAUGAUCAGUCACCUGGGAACGGAGACACGGUCCAGCCUCCUACGGGAGGCAGCAGUGGGGAAUAUUGGACAAUGGGCGAAAGCCUGAUCCAACCAUGCCGCGUGUGUGAAGAAGGUCUUCGGAUUGUAAAGCACUUUAAGUUGGGAGGAAGGGCAUUAAGUUAAUACCUUGCUGUUUUGACGUUACCAACAGAAUAAGCACCGGCUAACUUCGUG
rnacentral:rRNA from 1 species